rnacentral:rRNA from 1 species
GAUGAACGCUGGCGGCGUGCUUAACACAUGCGAAGUCGAACGUGAGAAUAGCAAUAUUUGAAAGUGGCAAACGGGUGAGUAACACGUGGGAACCUGCCUCGAAGUGGGGGAUAACGAUUGGAAACGGUCGCUAAUACCGCACGGUUCUGCUCUGAUGGGAAUGGAGCAGAUAAAGAUUUAUCGCUUUGAGAGGGGCCCGCGGCCGAUUAGCUAGUUGGUAAGGUAAAGGCUUACCAAGGCGAUUAUCGGUAGCUGGUCUGAGAGGACGAUCAGCCACACGGGAACUGAGACACGGUCCCGACUCCUACGGGGGGCAGCAGUGAGGAAUAUUGGGCAAUGGGCGAAAGCCUGACCCAGCAACGCCGCGUGGAGGAUGAAGGCUUUAGGGUUGUAAACUCCUUUUGUGGGGAAAAGAAUGGAUGGUACCCCAAGAAUAAGUCACGGCUAACUACGUG